CACGAAAACUUAACCUUGUUCACUGAUCCAUGAAAUGAGGUCGAGGUCAAGUGAAAACGGUCUGACAGGCAUGAGGACCUUGCAAGGUACGCACAUACCAAAUAUAGUUAUCCAAUUACUUAUAAUAAGAGAGAAUUUAACAUUACAAAAAAUCUGAACUUUUUUUUCAAGUAGUCACUGAACCAUGAAAAUGAGGUCAAGGACAUUGGACAUGUGACUGACGGAAAGUUCGUAACAUGAGGCAUCUAUAUACAAAGUAUGAAGCAUCCAGGUCUUCUACCUUCUAAAAUAUAAAGCUUUUAAGAAGUGAGCUAACACCGCCGCCGC
rnacentral:lncRNA from 1 species